AAUAUUGUACAAUGGGGGCAACCCUGUUCCAGCGCUGCCGCGUGUGUGAAAAAGGUCUUCGGAUUGUAAAGCACUGUAAGUUGGGAGGAAGGGUUGUAGAUCAAUACUCUGCAAUUUUGACGUUACCAACACAAUAAGCACCGGCUACCUUCGUGCCAGCAGCCGCGGUAAUACGAAGGGUGCAAGCGUUAAUCGGAAUUACGGGGCGUAAAGCGCGGGUAGGUGGGUAAGUAAGAUGGGUGUGAAAACCCCGGGCUUAACCUGGGAACUGCUUUCAUAACUGCUGAGCUAGAGUACGGUAGAGGGUGGGGGAAUUUCCUGGGUAGCGGUGAAAUGCGUAGAAAUAGGAAGGAAAACCAGUGGCGAAGGCGACUACCUGGACUGAUACUGACACUGAGGUGCGAAAGCGGGGGGGGCAAAC
rnacentral:rRNA from 1 species